rnacentral:rRNA from 1 species
UACGGGGGGGGCAAGCGUUGUUCGGAAUUACUGGGCGUAAAGGGCUCGUAGGCGGCCAACUAAGUCAGACGUGAAAUCCCUCGGCUUAACCGAGGAACUGCAUCUGAUACUGGAUGGCUUGAGUUCGGGAGAGGGAUGCGGAAUUCCAGGUGGUAGCGGUGAAAUGACGUAGAGUAUCUGGAGGAACACCGGUGGCGAAGGCGGCAUCCUGGACCGACACUGACGCUGAGGAGCGAAAGCCAGGGGAGCAACGGGG